rnacentral:tRNA from 1 species
GCGGAGGUUUCCGAGCCAGGUCAAAUGUCACCCCUUCAAGGGCUUGACUGGCAUGGAGCAGGACUGAGGCUCCUGUGGCGUAGAAACCCCCAGUCACCUGGGAGUUCACAUAGGCCUACACGAGUUCAAAUCUCGUCCUCCGCACCA